rnacentral:rRNA from 1 species
GACGAACGCUGGCGGCGUGCUUAACACAUGCAAGUCGAGCGAUGAAUUUUCUUCGGAAAUGGAUUAGCGGCGAACGGGUGAGGAACACGUGAAGAAUCUGCCCUCCACUUUGGGAUAACACAGGGAGACCUGUGCUAAUACCGAAUAUUGAAACAUAAGUGGCAUCACUGAGUUUUGAAAGAAUUUCGGUGGAGGAUGACUUCGCGGCCUAUCAGCUAGUUGGUGAGGUAAUGGCUCACCAAGGCAACGACGGGUAGCCGGCCUGAGAGGGCGACCGGCCACACUGGGACUGAGACACGGCCCAGACUCCUACGGGAGGCAGCAGUGGGGAAUAUUGGGCAAUGGAGGAAACUCUGACCCAGCGACGCCGCGUGCGGGAUGAAGGCCUUCGGGUUGUAAACCGCUUUCAGUAGGGAAGAAGCGAAAGUGACGGUACCUACAAAAGAAGCACCGGCUAACUAUGUGCCAGCAGCCGCAGUAA